CUAUCUCUAUCUAUUUCUCUCUGUCUCGUUCAUUCUACAAGCAGAGCAUUGGAUGCUGGGAGGAAAGAGGUAGGCGAGUAAGGGUUGGCGAGGAGGGUGGUGGCGUCAACGGGGUGUGACUCGCAAAAGGAGGAAAUCUAUUGCCGGAAGUGAGUAUAUUCAAGCGGCAGUCUGCGGUGCGUGUAUGGAAAUUCGAGACCGCCCUACCACGAAAGGGUCCUUCCCGAAACCCAAGGGAAGCCGCACGCGACGACGAUUUGCUCGAAGAAGAAAAAAAACGGAAAGACUGCAGAAGAAAAAGAAAAAGGAGAUAGAUUUUCGGCUGUCGUCGAAAAUAAGAAAUAUAAAAAGGUCGACGUUGGAACAAACAAAAAGAUACAAUUUUCAGAAAGCAAAAACGUCGAAGCGAAUGAUACGUGGUACUGCGUGCGAAAAAACACGUCGGUCAAGUCCCACGGCUCCUUGGAUCGGAGUCUAAUAAUCGCGAGAGAUACAGUGCUCAUGCGAGGUAAAGUUGCAAAAAACAAAAAAGAAAACAAAAACGGUUUGCUUCGAUACUUUUCCUAACCAUUGUACAACAACGGAAAAUGGGAACGGAGAAAAAGGAAGAGCUCGAUAUUGGAAAGCCUUUAGACAUCAGCGUGCACCAAAAGCAGUGCUUCUUUAAAAAUUGAAAUCGAAGAUGCGCACACGAGAUACGCUAUCAAAAAGGACUUAAAAGGAGAAACAAAUCGAUGUAGACGAUCGAUUAACGGCUUUGGCACAAGCAUUAUGUGUUUGUGGUGUGUGUAUGUUGUGUUUCUAUGCGUCUGUGUGUGUAAGAGAGAGAGAGAGAGAGAAGAUGGAACGAGUAUGCGCGAACCUGUGGAGCUCGUACGCAUCUAGGUUAAUGUACAUACGCGUGAUUGCACGUUGUGCACCACGUCGUAGGUAGGUGCACGUGUAAUCAGUGCUAAUGCGUCCCUAAUGGUGACUAAAUACCAAAUCAUAGUUUGAUGUGCUCCCAUCAACGAUGGUCCAUCAGCGGAGUGUUAUGCGCCGACAAACAAAAUCAAACCGAUCGUCGUCGUGUCCGCUUGCCUAAUAACAAAAAUUAUAUAUCAUUUUGCCCCUCAUGCAAUUACCCCACCACCGACCGCGAUAAUUAUCGCAUAUAAUAAUUAAGAGCGAAACGCCUUUGCAAGCUGCGCACUAUCAACGAAAGGCUUCCCAUCUCUUUCUCUCUCUCCUUCUCCCCCUUCCCAGCCUAAUAACGUUUUAACAAGCAACGCGCGAACUUAGAAAGAGGUUCUUCGUUUGAGAGAACAAGCUUGUCAAAGUAGUCCAGAAAUAACGAUUGGCAAAUCAAUUAGUUUAGGUAGAAAUUAGUGAUGCGAAGAGACCGGCGAGAGAGAGAGAGAGAGAGAGAGGAGAGGAGAGGAGGAGAUGCUGUUUACAUCAAGGGUUUGAUAUUUACGUCGGGAAUACUCUUUGAUAUAAGUAUCGGUUGAAGAAGAAAUUAAUGUAUGUAAUUUGAAUAAUUCUAACUAUCAUUUAAAGAAAACAAAAAAUCACUAAUAUAUCAGUCAAGAGUAAUACAGAAAAUAUAUAGAAAUAUAUGAGAGUAAUAGCAUAUAAAGGAAUAUUGGUAUGUAAUUGUGUGUUAAAGUGCUAAUAUCAAAUCAAACGAACAUGAUCACAUAGCUAUUUCUCUGACAGAUAAUCGAUAACUCAAUCGAGAUAACGAACGAUUUGCAGCUAGUAAUAGGGUGUAGACAACAUUGAACGUCUAUAGAGUUAUUUUGGCAAAUGUUAUAACUAAUAAUCACAUUAUUAUGCUGAUGAGAAAUUGUAAAUUUCAUUGAUAUAAAUAAGAAAAAAUUCUUAUAUAUGUAUGCGUAUAUAUAUAUAUAUAUGUGUAUAUUAUAUAUAUAUAUAUAUAUAUGUAUAUAUAUAUAUACAUAUAUAUAGAUAUUUCUUAUGUAGAAGGUAACUUCUGUUACAUAGGAAGGGGUAUUAUUAGACUCAUAGCUUACGGAAUCUACCCACGCACGCGCGUCCCAUACUAUUUACAUUCAGUCGUGCGUAUCUACGCGUUAGGACGUGUACACGAAGACAUGCUCUCUCGCCUCAAAACGAGAAUGUAUGAGCCCACGAUAUUAAGCCAUAACCGUGAUAUUCAUCGAAUAAGUUUGUGGAUGCUCACCAAACUUAAUGUUCUUUACAUUCUCCUACUUUACUAUCAAAAGAUACGAUCGGCAGAUGUUGUUUACAUAUUCCGCAGCAAUGAUCUUAAUACAUCAAGUUCUAAUGCACCAUCAAUGAAUUAAAAGUUGAUGACACAAAAAAAUUACACAAUAAAUAAUUACAUUGUUAUUUGAUUUUUUUUUUGCUAUGUAGAUGUUUUAUGAAAAGAUAGAUAUUAAUAAAAAAAAAAGUAGAAAAGAAAAGAAAUCAAAUUAAAAAAAUUUAAAUCAACGUUUCAUCUUUACAAUCAUUCAUGUAUUAAAAUAUAGAUGGACAAAUUUAUAUAUUUUUUAAUUGUUACUACUUUUGUCGUGUUAAAAUGGAUAUAUAACUUUUAAAAAUAUAUAGCUACUAUAUAUCUGCAAUCGCAUUAAUUUAAAAUCAAAGUUAAUUAUUAUUUUUUUCUACAGAUAACGAAUAGCAAAAGCAUAUCGAAGGCCACGGUAGAUUCUUGGACGAUGUUAUUAAACGUAAGGCCGAUGGGUCGUCGUCCCGGGAGACGUAUCGUUCCAAUACCGCGUUAACGAGUUCUAAUGGGAGUUGGGAACGAUAAUCGUCGCCUCGGAGCGAGUCAAAGUUUUCUUUCUAAUUAAGAAACAAAUAACCGGAGUUCACGCUUGGCCCGCUUUCGGGACAGCUUCGUUAAUAAACGCGGCCCGGUUAUUAAACCAGAAAAUUAACGUCUGCCUCGUACGAAGAGAAAUAGAAAGGAGAGAAAAGGAGCGAGAGGAAAGUGAGCUCGCGAAGAUGGCGGAUCGGUGAUGGUGGAGGUGAUCGCAGUAAAGAAAGAGGGGGAAAGUUCGCAGGAAGAGAGACGUCGUCGUCGUUGUCGACCGAUUCGUCUAUUCAUAAGAGAUUUUUAUUCUUCGAGGUAGAUAAUCUUUUGAACGCUGUCGACGACGAUGAUGGCGAUCUUAGAAAAAGAAAAAAAAUUUCAUACGAUCGCACUCAUCAGACCAUUCGAUUUUCUCUCUUAUUACUUCCUCCUCAAACAAAUACGAAAAAACCGACAAUGGAAGGCAAAAUUAAAACACUCGAUCUCACACAUACGAAAGCUGUCUGUUAUUGCAUCUGAGGAAAAAGUACUUUUUAAAUAUAAUGAAGUAUGAUGAAUGAGAAACGUCAACUUUUAGAUGGAGAUAAUUAAAAGUAAAUAAUAAUUUUCAGUAGAAAUUCUUAAUUUAGUAGCGCGCGCGAGCGAGGGGACAGUAAUUUCUUUAAGGAUAUUUCCAAUUGUGUGACGGCGUUAAGCGUUAGCAAAGUAAAAGAGACGUUCCUGCGCCGUAGUCGUUUACGACCACGGAGUUGGUUAGGUUAGGAUAAGGCACGUUCUCUGUAAUUACGUUGGAUGUGAUAAUUAUGAGGAUACCGGGCACUUGUCACAGUGUAACGAGCUUUCUUUUAACCGUGCACUAUCCUGCAACCUCGUCCUUCUUCUUUUGCAUCCAGAAACGUAAGCAGUUUGCUUAACAAACCAGCAAACUGAUACGCUUUAUCCAACGUCUCCUCACAAAUUAAUCUCACCGCAUUUUCUUGUAACAUAAUUAUAAUAUAAGGUUAAUGAAACAGUGUCCAUUGUUUUUGUACGUGUAUUCUUAGUUCAUAGAAUAUUUUUAUACGGGGACUUUGUAGUAAAAAUAAAUUUUUUUCAGAUCCCCGGUUUACGAGGAUUGUAUAACAAAGGGUGGAACUUCUAGUAUUUUUCUUUAAACAAUACAAUAAUAUAUAUAUCAUUAAAUCUAUUUAUUUUUAAUUAAAAAUUUCUACUAAAAUAUUAUCUACUCAUAGGGAAUCAAAAAGAUAGCAUGGCCUUGUAUCGAAAUCUCUCACGAUCUAAAUCUACUUUAACAUCGAAGUAUACAACUAUUGAAAAUCAAUUAUUUUCAAAAUAAACGUGCAUUAAACACUAAAAAUCUUCAAAAUAACUAACAA